GACGAACGCUGGCGGCGUGCCUAAUACAUGCAAGUCGAACGCAGGGGGGACGGGUGAGUAACACGUGGGUAACCUCCCAUCAGAGGGGAUAACACUUGGAAACAGGUGCUAAACCGAUACUGAUGGAUGGACCCGCGGUGCAUUAGCUAGUUGGUGGGGUAACGGCGAACCAAGGCCACGAUGAAUAGCCGACCUGAGAGGGUGAUCGGCAAAACUGGGACUGAGACACGGCCCAGACGCACACGUGAGUGAGCAGUAGGGAAUCUUCGGCAAUGGACGAAAGUCUGACCGAGCAACGCCGCUUGAGUGAAGAAGGUUUUCGGAUCGUAAAACUCUGUUGUUAGAGAAGCGGUAUCUAACCAGAAAGCCACGGCUAACUACGUGCCAGCAGCCGCGGUAAGAC
rnacentral:rRNA from 1 species